AUGAACGCUGGCGGCGUGCCUAAUACAUGCAAGUCGAACGGAGUGCAGUAAUGUACUUAGUGGCGACCGGGUGCGUAACACGUAGCUGACCUGCCCCUCGGCGGGGGACAACAGUACGAAAGUGCUGCUAAUACCGCAUACCUUUCUCGCAUUUAGAACACGAGAAAGAAACUUUAGGGGCCGAGGGAGGGGGCUGCGGCCCAUCAGGUAGUUGGUGAGGUAACGGCUCACCAAGCCAACGACGGGUCGGGGGCCUGAGAGGGUGGCCCCCCACACUGGGACUGACAAACGGCCCAGACUCCUACGGGAGGCAGCAGUAAGGGAUAUUGCGCAAUGGGCGAAAGCCUGACGCAGCAACGCCGCGUGCAGGAUGAAGGCCUUCGGGUCGUAAACUGCUUUGGCGCGGGACGAGGAAGGACGGUACCGCGCGAACAAGUCACGGCUAACUACGU
rnacentral:rRNA from 1 species